AACGAACGCUGGCGGCAUGCCUAACACAUGCAAGUCGAACGAGACCUUCGGGUCUAGUGGCGCACGGGUGCGUAACGCGUGGGAACCUGCCCUUAGGUUCGGAAUAACUCCCCGAAAGGGGUGCUAAUACCGGAUAAUGUCUUCGGACCAAAGAUUUAUCGCCUUUGGAUGGGCCCGGGUUGGAUUAGCUAGUUGGUAGGGUAAAAGCCUACCAAGGAGACGAUCCAUAGCUGGUCUGAGAGGAUGAUAAGCCACACUGGGACUGAGACACGGCCCAGACUCCUACGGGAGGCAGCAGUGGGGUAUAUUGGACAAUGGGCGAAAGCCUGAUCCAGCAAUGCCGCGUGAGUGAUGAAGGCCUUAGGGUUGUAAAGCUCUUUUACCCGGGAUGAUAAUGACAGUACCGGGAGAAUAAGCUCCGGCUAACUCCGUG
rnacentral:rRNA from 1 species